GAGGCCGGCAGAUUAAUAUAACACAUCAAUUUGGGGCAAAUGAAUCCAAUCCAAUCCAAACCAAAUGAACGCAAAUUGAAGGGAGGUGUAUGCUGGUGGCUAGGUAAGGGAGCCGUGGGCACUGUCUGGAGAGGUGAGGUUCAGGGGCGGGUGAUAAAUGGCCGAGAUGGAGAAGGAGAAGGGCUGGAAUAGUUGUAAGAAUACUAAGAAAGGAGGAGGAGGAGGAGGAGCAAGGGUUUUGCAAUGACUACGUGUACAGGAUCAGUACCGCGGAGGAGUGGGCGGAACUGCAGACAAGUGGAUCUACUUUUGGCCGACAAAUUGAUAAAUCAACCGGCUGUAUUCAUCUCAGCAACCUCCACCAGGUUCAGUGGGUUUUACACAACUUUUUCCUGAACUCUAAGGGACAAGACUUGUUCCUGCUCCAAAUCGAUGCUAAAAAGCUUGGUGAUGGUUUGGUUUAUGAAGCCGCUGCGGACGACUCCUCUAAGGUCUUCCCUCAUUUCUACGGUCCAUCUCGAAGUUUUGGUCCUCUUCCUCUGGAUGUUGUUACUAAAGCGGAGAAGAUAAUUCUAUCAGAUGCCAAAUUCACCUGCUGUUUGCUCAGUUAAAUUUAAAAAAAAAAAAAUUAAGGGUCUUCUUCUUUAUCGCUUUCUUCCCAUUUGAAUUGAAGCUGAAAAGCUGUUUAUGGUAUACAAAGUCGAUCCAAAUGCUCGGACUUACCAACUUGUAUUCGGAAGAAUCCUCCAGUUUUGUUUUAGAUUUACAUAUCCUAAUUGCUUUGCAAUUGGAAUAUGUGCGAGAGCCAUUGGUUGAACAGUUCAAAUAUGCUGUGUGGAAGUUUCUGUUCCUCGUCAAUUAUAUACUUUUAUGCUCACACA